GUCGGCGCGGAAUUUCCAGCUGGAGGACGCGUCUGACGUCGGCGAAAGCCAGCCCUCCUCCUCCUCCAUCGGUCCCGAUCGGGUGGCGGCGCGUCGGCUGUGGCGGAGAUCGGGGUUCACGUAGCGCUCAGGUCUGCAAAGUUCAAAACAAGCUUCUCUGACCUUACUUACAAUCUACCCCAUGGGACCAACGAGAAGCUGAACGAUGCUUGGCUCGUAUACUAUGACUCUAUGUUGUGAUAUCGUAUCUUUAUGACAGCAUUAAGAUAGUCUGACACUGUAUAUUGUUAUGAGCAGCAUGCUUGCUUGCAUCACCUUCACCAAUGCUUGAGUGGCCCCUUGCUCUCUGGCCAUUGCUUUUAGCGGGGAUACUUGCUGCCAUCUUGCUCGAAAGCAACCUUAGGAGCAGUUUGGAAACCCUGCAUAGCAUUUGUCGGGGGCUUGUUGGCCUAAUUCAAGUCUGUAGUUAAUUCUGAUAUUGACAAGGCCAGUCGUAUGGAUCAGUUGAAGCCCCAGUUUGGACCGCCAAUCUACAUUUUUCUCUUUUGCCAAAGGCAAAAGACCUGUUGUCUGCAGAGCUGUAUGCUAUGGGAUGCAGUUGAUGUUGAGUUUUCUCUAAAUCUUAUGCUAUGCUAUCUAGCUAAGUUCGAAAACCUUUGAAGCCAAAACUAAGAAUCAUGCAAGCUUCCAUGUUUUGUGCGACAAUAUCUGCUGCUGUUCACCUGCUUGGAUCGUGAAAGUAUGUGCCUCAUGAGCAGCAGAAGCAAGCUCCCAUGUUUUGUUUUGAUUCUCUGCGGUGCGUACUCAGUAGUACAGUAAGGUUGACUGUAGCACAUCGGUCGAUCGAUGCGAGAGACUAUGGAGGAUAGAUUCAGAGCCACCUCAGAAAAUUAUUGAACUUGUGAAGUAGAAAGUUGGGUUUUCAUUUAUCGGAUUUAGUGCUAUUUUCGAAGUAAAUUUAUUAUCAUA